rnacentral:rRNA from 1 species
GACGAACCGCGCGAACGUUGUUCGGAAUCACUGGGCUUAAAGGGCGCGUAGGCGGGCUGUCAAGUCUGGGGUGAAAUCCCGCGGCUCAACCGUGGAACUGCCUCAGAUACUGACGGUCUCGAGGGAGGUAGGGGCGAGCGGAACUGAUGGUGGAGCGGUGAAAUGCGUUGAUAUCCUAAGGAACACCGGUGGCGAAAGCGGCAUACUGGGUAUUAUCUGACGCUCAUGCACGAAAGCUAGGGUAGCGAACGGG